AGAAUCAACGCUGGCGGCGUGCCUAACACAUGCAAGUCGAACGCGAAAGCCCCGCAAGGGGUAAGUAGAGUGGCAAACGGGUGAGUAACACGUGGGUGACCUGCCUUCGAGUGGGGGAUAACGUCCCGAAAGGGACGCUAAUACCGCAUGACAUCCUGCUUUUGGAAAAGCGGAGAUCAAAGCUGGGGAUCGCAAGACCUGGCGCUUGGAGAGGGGCCCGCGCCUGAUUAGCUAGUUGGUGGGGUAACGGCCUACCAAGGCGACGAUCAGUA
rnacentral:rRNA from 1 species